rnacentral:rRNA from 1 species
GACGAACGCUGGCGGCGUGCCUAAUACAUGCAAGUCGAGCGGAUCUUGAAAAGCUUGCUUUUCUUGAUCAGCGGCGGACGGGUGAGUAACACGUGGGCAACCUGCCUGUAAGACUGGGAUAACUUCGGGAAACCGGAGCUAAUACCGGAUAAUCCUUUCCUUCUCAUGAGGGAAAGCUUGAAAGGCGGCUUCGGCUGUCACUUACAGAUGGGCCCGCGGCGCAUUAGCUAGUUGGUGAGGUAACGGCUCACCAAGGCGACGAUGCGUAGCCGACCUGAGAGGGGGAUCGGCCACACGGGGACUGAGACACGGCCCAGACUCCUACGGGAGGCAGCAGUAGGGAAUCUUCCGCAAUGGACGAAAGUCUGACGGAGCAACGCCGCGUGAGCGAAGAAGGCCUUCGGGUCGUAAAGCUCUGUUGUCAGGGAAGAACAAGUGCCAUAGUAACUGAUGGCACCUUGACGGUACCUGACCAGAAAGCCACGGCUAACUACGUGCCAGCAGCCGCGGUAAAAC